rnacentral:rRNA from 1 species
GACGAACGCUGGCGGCGUGCCUAAUACAUGCAAGUAGAACGCACAGUUUAUACCGUAGCUUGCUACACCAUAGACUGUGAGUUGCGAACGGGUGAGUAACGCGUAGGUAACCUGCCUGGUAGCGGGGGAUAACUAUUGGAAACGAUAGCUAAUACCGCAUAAUAUUAAUUAUUGCAUGAUAAUUAAUUGAAAGGUGCAAUUGCACCACUACCAGAUGGACCUGCGUUGUAUUAGCUAGUAGGUGAGGUAACGGCUCACCUAGGCGACGAUACAUAGCCGACCUGAGAGGGUGAUCGGCCACACUGGGACUGAGACACGGCCCAGACUCCUACGGGAGGCAGGAGUAGGGAAUCUUCGGCAAUGGACGAAAGUCUGACCGAGCAACGCCGCGUGAGUGAAGAAGGGUUUCGGAUCGUAAAGCUCUGUUGUAAGAGAAGAACGGGUGUGAGAGUGGAAAGUUCACACUGUGACGGUAUCUUACCAGAAAGGGACGGCUAACUACGUG